rnacentral:rRNA from 1 species
CGACUGCUAUCGGGGUGGCGCUAAGCCAUGGGAGUCGCACAUCCACCGCCGUGGGGUGUGGCGAACGGCUGAGUAACACGUGGCUAACCUACCCUCGGGACGGGGACAACUCCGGGAAACUGGAGCUUAUCCCCGAUAGGCGGGGAGUCCUGGAACGGUUCUCCGCCCAAAGGGAUAGAAGGGGGUUAUCGCCUUCUAUCCGCCCGAGGAUGGGGCUGCGUCCCAUCAGGUUGUUGGCGGGGUAACGGCCCGCCAAGCCUAUAACGGGUAGGGGCCGUGAGAGCGGGAGCCCCCAGAUGGGCACUGAGACAAGGGCCCAGGCCCUACGGGGCGCACCAGGCGGGAAACCUCCGCAAUGCGGUAACCCGUGACGGGGUCACCCCGAGUGCUCUCCUUAUGGAGAGCUUUUCCCYGCUGCAGKAAGGCAGGGGUAAUAAGUGGGGGGCAAGUCUGGUGUCAGCCGCCGCGGUAAUACCAGCCCCACGAGUGGUCGGGACGGUUAUUGGGCCUAAAGCGCCCGUAGCCGGCCCAGCAAGUUCCUGCCUAAAUCACCGGGCUCAACCCGGUGACUGGUGGGAAUACURCUGGGCUAGGAGGCGGGAGAGGCCGGGGGUACUCCUAGGGUAGGGGCGAAAUCCUAUAAUCCUAGCAGGACCACCAGUGGCGAAGGCGCCCGGCUGGAACGCGCUCGACGGUGAGGGGCGAAAGCUGGGGGAGCAAACCGGAUUAGAUACCCGGGUAGUCCCAGCUGUAAACGAUGCGGACUAGGUGUUGGACGGACCUAGAGUCCGUCCAGUGCCGCAGGGAAGCCGUUAAGUCCGCCGCCUGGGGAGUACGGCCGCAAGGCUGAAACUUAAAGGAAUUGGCGGGGGAGCACCACAAAGGGGUGGAGCCAGUGGCUUAAUUGGAGUCAACGCCGGGAACUUUACCGGGGGCGACAGCAGGAUGACGGCCAGGCUAAUGACCUUGCCCGACGCGCUGAGAGGAGGUGCACGGCCGUCGCCAGCUCGUGCCGUGAGGUGUCUGGUUAAGUCCAGCAACGAGCGAGACCCCUGCCCCUAAUUGCGACUCACUCCUUUUGGAGUGGGGCACAUUAGGGGGACUGCCGGCGUCUAAGCCGGAGGAAGGUGGGGGCCACGGCAGGUCAGCAUGCCCCGAAACCCCCGGGCUGCACGCGGGCUACAAUGGCUGGGACAGCGAGAACCGACCCCGAAAGGGGAAGGCAAUCUCUUAAACCCAGCCGCAGUUGGGAUCGAGGACUGAAACCCGUCCUCGUGAACGAGGAAUCCCUAGUAACCGCACGUCAUCAUCGUGCGGUGAAUACGUCCCUGCUCCUUGCACACACCGCCCGUCGCUCCACCCGAGUGGGGAAAGGGUGAGGCCCUGCCGUUGUGGCAGGUUCGAACCCAGGGUCGGCGAGGAGGG